UACGUAGGCAGCGAGCGUUGUUCGGAGUUACUGGGCGUAAAGGGUGUGUAGGCGUUGUUUAAGUUUGGUGUGAAAUCUCCCGCUCAACUGGGAGGGUGCGCCGAAUACUGAAUGACUUGGAGUGCGGGAGAGGUGAGUGGAAUUCCCUGGUGUAGCGGUGAAAUGCGUAGAUAUCAGGAGGAACACCGGUGGUGUAGACGGCUCACUGGACCGUAAACUGACGCUGAGACACGAAAGCGUGGGUAGCAAACAGG
rnacentral:rRNA from 1 species